GUUACUACCAAAGCUAGAAUUAGAUCCUAGGCUUCAAAAUCCUAGUUUAAUAUUUUUCCUUUGACUACUCACCUCAGAUUUGUAGAUGUUUAUGUAAAUAUUAAUUGGAUAAAGCAGCAUUGUUUUUAAUAAUCAAAAAGUGGAAACAACCUGAUAUUCAUCAAAUGAAAAAUGGAUUAAAUAAAUGUGAUAUAUCCAUUUGUCACAUUCACAGAGCAGUUGUGCCAGGGCAGUGGGGUAGAUUGCUGGAAAGGCCAAACAAAGUGCUCAGAGAUGGCAUGCAACAUAGGAUUAAUUGGAGAAAGCUUACAAGAGAUCAGUGACUGCCCCAAGAAGUGUUCAGUGGUGACAGACUAAGCAGCCUCUUGUCCCUUAGAGUUUCACCAAGUAGUGCUUUGUGUCUCUCAGGAACUUUUUCCAGUGGCAGCAGGCUGAACAAGCAACUGUAUCCUCUCCACAGUGUCUUGGGUUCUUCACUCAUCACCUGAGGGUUUUGUAUGUCAGAUUGCAGAAGCAGUGACAUCAUGAACAUUAGCUUGCUCACUUUGCUUGUCUGAGCAUUUUGGAGCACUUGUCCUGGAAAACAUGCAAGGAAGUAGCUUUCUAUGGAUAACACUUAACUUGCCCUAGUUCUCAGCGUCCCUCAAGAUGAUUUGUAUCUGGACUUUCUGACACAGACUUUCUCUUGUGCUCUUAACUUGGCUAGGAUUUUGGCAACAAAAAGGGGUCAUUCAGGGACAUGGUGUUUUACUGUUCCCGUUUCUUUAGGGGCAGUACACCAGUAAAUAGGAGUGAAGUACUAGAAGAGAAUUCUGUGAAGAUGGUGAAGUCGGUAGCACCUAUCUCCUCACCUAGAAGUGGUCAUAGUAGCAGAAUCUCUCUCCUGUGACUAUUCUGGAACUCUGAAGUCUACUAAGAGCUUGCAACCUCUAAGGGAAUGAAGUACUGAUAGUACAAUAUGGAUGAACCUCAAUAACAAAUAUGAUGUUAUAUGAAAGGAGUGAGUCAGAAAGGACCACAUAUUGUAUACUUCCCUUUAUAUAAAAUAUCUUGAAUAGGCAAAUCUAUAGAGACAGAAAAUAGAUAAGUGAUUGCUUUGGGCUGAAGCAGGGGAGUUGUUGGAGGGAAAUGGGUGGAUGAUUACUAGAAGGUGAAUCGAAUGGCAUAUGAAUUAUGUGUCAACCAAAAAGAUCUUACAAAAAAUUAAUGAAGAGUAGACCAAUGAUAACAGGAGAAUUGAAAAUAUAAAAAAAUUAGUUUUCCAAAACUGAUUAACAUACAGUUUCUAUUUCAACUUGUGAAAUAUUUUUUAAUUUCUAAGUCUAGUUUCCC
rnacentral:lncRNA from 1 species